GACGAACGCUGGCGGCGUGCUUAACACAUGCAAGUCGAACGGUGAACCUGCUUCGGUGGGGGAUCAGUGGCGAACGGGUGAGUAACACGUGGGCAACCUGCCCUCAGCUCUGGGAUAACUCCAAGAAAUUGGGGCUAAUACUGGAUAUGACCGCUGACCGCAUGGUCUGGUGGUGGAAAGAUUUAUCGGCUGGGGAUGGGCCCGCGGCCUAUCAGCUUGUUGGUGGGGUAGGGGCCAACCAAGGCGACGACGGGUAACCGGCCUGAGAGGGUGACCGGCCACAAUGGUACUGAGACACGGCCCAGACUCCUACGGGAGGCAGCAGUGGGGAAUAUUGCGCAAUGAGCGAAAGCCUGACGCAGCGACGCCGCGUGGGGGAUGACGGCCUUCUGGUUGUAAACCUCUUUCAGCAGGGACGAAGCGAAAGUGACGGUACCUGCAGAAGAAGCACCGGCCAACUACGUG
rnacentral:rRNA from 1 species